rnacentral:rRNA from 1 species
AGAAUCAACGCUGGCGGCGUGCCUAACACAUGCAAGUCGAACGCGAAAGGGGAGCAAUCCCUGAGUAGAGUGGCAAACGGGUGAGUAACACGUGGGUGACCUGCCUUCGAGUGGGGGAUAACGUCCCGAAAGGGACGCUAAUACCGCAUGACAUCCUGCUCUUGGACGAGCGGAGAUCAAAGCUGGGGAUUCGCAAGAACCUGGCGCUUGAAGAGGGGCCCGCGCCUGAUUAGCUAGUUGGUGGGGUAACGGCUCACCAAGGCUACGAUC